GAAGUCACACCCUUGGUGGCCAGGUCACAUUUUCAGCGAAGCGUUCGCUACUCCUUCUGUGCGAAGGAGUAAAAGGGAGGGUCACAUUUUGGUUGCUUUUUAUGGUGAUAGCAGCUAUGGAUGGUUUGAUCCAGAUGAGCUUGUACAUUUUGAACCAACUUAUGCGGAGAAGUCUAUGCAAACUAAUGUGAAGAACUUUAUAAAAGCAGUG
rnacentral:misc_RNA from 1 species